GAGGACUCUGGGAUUGGCAUGAUCUUUGGCAUCAUUGCUGCUGUUGUUGUCGUGGUUGGCGGACUUAUUGCUGGCAUUGUUUUCAUGGUGUUGAAGAGGAAGCAUGGGAAGGAGUAUGACAAGGCUUCAUCGCAGGACUCCAACUCCAACAACUCCAACCCCAUUGUCCGGACUGAAACCGAAAAACUUAACGCGGAGUGCUGAAAGAAAACCACCCAGCCCAAAUCAACUGAUGUACAUAUUUUGUAUGUGUUUGUAAGCUUGUUUGAUUACUUGUUUGACUUUUCCCAGCAAUAGACCAUUCACCUCUUCAUGACUGGGGUUUAUUUGCACUAUUGUUAUUUUCCAUGUCAGUGGUCGAAAUUGUGGAAUAGUCAUCUGUAAGC